UACAGGGGGGGCAAGCGUUGUUCGGAAUUACUGGGCGUAAAGGGCUCGUAGGCGGCCAACUAAGUCACACGUGAAAUCCCCAGGCUUAACCUGGGAACUGCGUGUGAUACUGGAUGGCUUGAAUUCGGGAGAGGGAUGCAGAAUUCCAGGUGUAGCGGUGAAAUGCGUAGAUAUCUGGAGGAAUACCGGUGGCGAAGGCAGCUCGCUGGGACGUUACUGACGCUGAGACGCGAAAGCGUGGGGAGCAAACAGG
rnacentral:rRNA from 1 species